rnacentral:rRNA from 1 species
CAGUCGUACCUUCCGGGUAAUCAACCCUUUGGGGUGGGAUUUAUGGGGGUAUGGGGAAAAGAUUCCCAGUUGCUAUUUUGGGCCUUUGGGAUGUACUUUCUUGUAUGGUAGGUUAACCUUCAAAUUUCGGGGCAUCAAAAAUGGCGGGGAGGAAUGUAGCUUCUUCGGAAAGGGGUUUAUAGCCUCUGGUAGAUGUGAUGACUGAGAUUGAGGAUUGCAACGAAUACCCUCUGGGGCUACCUGUCUGGCCUCUGGUCGUCGCUUUGGUGCCGAAAGCGUGCUUACGGUAUUAACGUAGGUGGUCAAAAGGUUAGAACGGGUAAA